GGAGGGGGAUAACUACUGGAAACGGUAGCUAAUACCGCAUAACGUCGCAAGACCAAAGAGGGGGACCUUCGGGCCUCUUGCCAUCGGAUGUGCCCAGAUGGGAUUAGCUAGUAGGUGGGGUAAMGGCUCACCUAGGCGACGAUCCCUAGCUGGUCUGAGAGGAUGACCAGCCACACUGGAACUGAGACACGGUCCAGACUCCUACGGGAGGCAGCAGUGGGGAAUAUUGCACAAUGGGCGCAAGCCUGAUGCAGCCAUGCCGCGUGUAUGAAGAAGGCCUUCGGGUUGUAAAGUACUUUCAGCGGGGAGGAAGGGAGUAAAGUUAAUACCUUUGCUCAUUGACGUUACCCGCAGAAGAAGCACCGGCUAACUCCGUGCCAGCAGCCGCGGUAAUACGGAGGGUGCAAGCGUUAAUCGGAAUUACUGGGCGUAAAGCGCACGCAGGCGGUUUGUUAAGUCAGAUGUGA
rnacentral:rRNA from 1 species